CCCAGUCAUAUACAGUAUCUGAUCACAGAGAAGUUCUGUAUUUAUCUUCAUGGACAAGCUUAGCUACAGCUGGCCUUAAAGAAACUGUGGGAUAUAAAGAGGCAAAGAUGUAAAGGAGAGGAAAGCUUCCUGCCCUUUGGUUUGGCAUGGAAGCAACAAUCAUGCAUUCAACAAUCAUUGUGUGAUGGGAUUGGGCAAAUUAAUCUUUCACCUAAAGGAGCAUCUAUGCCAAUCUCCAAGAAAACACACCCUACGUUUGGGAAAAACUGCACUUCUAAAUUAACCUAUGUUGUUUUAGGCUACUCUUGUGUAUAAUUAUGGGAUACCACAAGGCUAUUCAAUUUAACAAUUCCCUGCCUUCAAAUUCAUAGGAAAUCUGGAAAAAUGAAAAGCUGGCAUCUUUUUUCUCCAUGAGGUUCAUUCACCGACAUAGAAGAAACUAAACUGAACCACUUUAACCUGUCUUAUACAAAUAUUUUGGUUUAAGGGAUUUUGG
rnacentral:lncRNA from 1 species